CUUAGAGUUCAUCGCUUUUGAACGGUUGGAUUUUCAUCACAAGAUCGAUCACAGUGUAUUUGAAGCUUCUGUCUUUCAACGGGAAAGAUUCAAUGCCCGCAGCAACAUGAACACGGAACAUUUCUAGCUUAAAACUAUCGCUUGGCGAAUAUAACAUGGCUCGAGAUUACGUGGGAAAAACUCUCACUAUCCAAAUAGAAGUCGGCGACAGAGAUGAAGAGGCAAAAUGCUACGAAAA